UUUUCUUCUUCUUCUUCAUCUCUCUUCAAUGAUUCCACUCUCUGAAUUUCACUCAACUCGUUCCCAUGGCUGCAAAACGUGUCCACGGAGACUACCCUUCGUCCACCGAUCUCUCCACUGUUAAACGCCACAAGGACCUCGACUUCCCCGAAGACACCACCACCGCACUCGAGGACGACGGCGCCGCCGCGAUCAACCUCCUCAGCCUACUCCUACAAUGCGCCGAAUACGUCGCCACGGACCACCUCCGCGAAGCUUCCAUCCUCUUGUCGGAAAUCUCCGAGACAUGCUCCCCGUUCGGUUCCUCCCCGGAGCGAGUCGUCGCCUACUUCGCGCAGGCGCUUCAGGCGCGCGUCAUCAGCACCUACCUCUCCGGCGCGUGCUCGUGCUCUCAACUCUCGGAGAGUCCAAUCCCGUCGCAGAAGAUCUUCGCCGCCUUACAGACGUUCAACUCCCUGAGCCCUCUCAUCAAAUUCUCACACUUCACUGCCAAUCAAGCGAUCUUCCAGGCCCUGGACGGCGAGGACUCCGUCCAUAUCAUCGACCUCGACGUCAUGCAAGGCCUUCAAUGGCCCGGACUCUUCCACAUCCUCGCUUCACGUCCUCGAAAGCUCCGAUCCAUUCGGAUCACCGGGUUCGGGCCAUCCUCCGAUGUCCUCGCCUCCACCGGCCGGAGACUCGCCGAUUUCGCGGCCUCCUUGUCCCUCCCCUUCGAGUUUCGUCCCAUCGUUGGCAAAAUCGGAAACGUAACCGAUCCGAGUCGACUCGGGAGGAGACCCGGCGAGGCUGUGGUGGUUCACUGGAUGCAGCACCGGCUAUACGACGUCACCGGGAACGGUAUCGACGCGCUGGAGAUUGUACGGAGGCUGAGGCCGAAUCUGAUAACGAUGGUUGAGCAGGAGCUGAGCUACGACGACGGAGGAGGAGGCUGCUUUCUUGGGAGGUUCGUGGAGGCGCUGCAUUAUUACAGCGCGUUGUUCGACGCGCUUGGGGACGGAUUGGGGGAGGAGAGUGGGGAGAGAUUCACGGUGGAGCAGAUCGUGCUUGCGACUAUCAAUAAUUGGAUUUAAACAAUAGAUGAUUCAUUGGAUUUAUAGAUAGUAUAAAUUAAAUAGAUAUAAUUUAUUGUUGUAAUACUAUACCUCCAUAUGUUAAUUAUUUAAAUAUUUGUCGAUGUUAAAUUUUAAAAUUAUGAAGAUUUUUUUUGAAUAACAAAAAUCAUACUCCAUCUGUUCCCAAAAAUAAGAUUUUCUAGAGUAUACAUGUUUAUUAAGAAUUUAAUAAAUGUUUAUAGUUUAAUUUAUUUUUUAUUUUAUUAUACACUUUCUAAUAACUUUCAACCAAUAAAAUUUAAUCAAUUCAAAUAUUCUCAAUUAUUGUUCCUCAGAAGUAUAAAAAAGUACCUUAACAAUAUAAAAAAUAUAUCUUUGUGGAACAAGAAAAAAAUCUAAAAAAUCUUACUUUUGGGAACGAAUAUAGUAUUAUCUAACAAUGAUUAGUCUUUACUAUCUUAAACCAAUAAAAACAAAUUUCAACCUAUAUAGUUUAUUUUAAAAAUUAAACAAAAACUAAAUGUUUAAUAAUUUACUCGAUAAUAUAAAUCUAUGAAGCGAAAAGUUUAAUUUUUUAAAAACUUUAUAAAUUUGUGAAAUGUUACAAUAUCUUUGAAUAUGACAAUCUUAUAUAUUAAAACAGAAGUCACAACCUUGAUUCAUGUGUGAUUUUUUUUAAAAUGUACCUAAUGGACCUAUUCCUAGAAAGUCAUGUUACAUUUAAUAUCUAAUCUUAUCAUUUAAAUUUUGGGCAUACCAAAAAUUUUUAUUGAGCUAUCAAUAAUUAGAUUUAAAGAAUAGAUGAUCCAUUGGAUUUAUAGAUAGUAUAAAUUAAAUAGAUAUAAUUUAAUGUUGUAAUACUAUACCUCUAUAUGUUAAAUAUUUAAAUAUUUUUCGAAAUUAACUUUGAAAAUUAUAAAGAUUUUUUUUUUAAUAACAAAAAUCAUAUUAUCUAAAAAUGAUUAAUAUUUACUACCUUAAACCAAUGAAACAAAUUUUAAACUAUAUAUUUUAUUUUAAAAAUUAAACAAAAACUAAAUGUUUAAUUACUCGAUAAUAUAAAUCUAUGAAGCGAAAAGUUUAAUUUUUUAAAAACUUUAUAAAUUUGUGAAAUGUUACAAUAUCUUUGAAUAUGACAAUAAAACAAUAUUUUACUAAUCUGUAUAUAUAUAGUUACGAUUUUAAUAAUAAAAUAAUUAUCCGAAAAUAUAUUUAUAGAAAAAAAUACAAAUACAUGUGAAAUUUUGAAACAAUCUAUUCAAUGAAAAAAAAUGUACAGUAAACUUAUUAUGUUUUAAAAAUUGAUAGACACAUAUAUAUUAUAAUAUAUAUCAAUUCAGAAUUAAAAACAAAAUAUUUAUAUAAAAAUAAAUAAAAACAAAAAUCUGCGCGGUUGCGCGGGUCGAGUUCUAGUAUAUACAGUAUUUUAGGUGUGAACACACUGGUAAGAAUUAAAUGACUCCAAAAUAUAAAUAACCAACAUUAAGGAGGAAAAAAAAACAUUAAGGAGGGAAGAUAUUUUUUUGUUAUACUUUUCUGUGUUGUUAAUGUAUCAUAUAUGUUCGACAUGAUAUAUUUGCAUUUGAAAUAUUUUGAUUUUCUUCAUUUAAUUCGUUGAUUGGGAUGUGGUUGCUAUUAUUAGAGAAGCUAAGAUUGGUAGUGUUUCACCAAGCUUUUCGGUUCUUCUUUGUUUUUGUCUUCACUCGGACCCCAUAGAAUUACUAUUUUUACCAAAAUUUCAAAUCGGUAUAAUUUUUCUUGUAGCGACUUCAUAAAAAGUAUCAAAUAAAUUGUGACAUAUUUCUGGAACUACAUUGUACGUCUGUAGUUUCCCUAAAAGACCAGGGGUGAAUGUUUUUAAAUUAAGUUUUCUGUAUAUAGAAAAGAAAAUGAAUAUCAAAAAGCAAAAGCAAAAACAAAAACAAAAACCAUACAUAAUAAUGUUAGGUGAAUUGUUUUGGAAUAUAUUACCAGUAGAUGCUUGUUACAACCUCAAAUUACUUUCAUGUGAUAAUAAAAUAUAUGUGUCGGCAAAAAUGGUAAAAGUGUCAUAAGGUUUAUGUUUUUAUUAUGUAAAUUAUCGGGCACAGUUUUUUUUUGACAAAAUUAUCGGGCACAGUUUCACGGUAUUAUUUGAUAGUUUGUAUUUGUUUGUUGUGGAGAAAUAUAGUGUUUGUUUUUUCGAGAAAAAAAAAUAGUGUGUUUGAAAAUAACUAGAGUGAAUGUAAAGAUAUGUGACUCAACCGCUGGAGGCAUCAAGUGUUAGGCACUAUAUUUCUUUGAAAAUCGAAUAUGAUUCCACGCUAUCCUUAUGUACUCACAUGCAUGGUUAAAUGACACCCAUCGUCGCAUCUUAAGGCAUAUAACGCAGAAAAGAAGAUAGGUAAAAAAAGAGAUACAGGGAUACCAACUUUCUAAUGGUAUAACCGUUAUAUUAAUUAUGAAAUGAGUGUAAUUGUUACGUAUAUAUAGUAUAUGUGGUCGGUCUUACAAAUGCAUAAUUAAAUAUUGAAUGGUGAAUUCAAUUAGUGUUUACAGAAAAGAAAGUAAAAACAAUACAAAAACAACAGUAUAUUCUUGUUGUGCUGGUUCCGAACUAAUUGAUGCCGCAGCGAAAUGAGCAUAGACCAAAACCAAAUGUGACAUUCUAACCAAAUUUCUUAAGACGAGUUCAAAGUACAUGUAUGUCAUUCGCGGGAUAGUAUGGCUGUGAUUAGUAAUGUAGGUGUUCUAGUUAUUUAAAAACUGUUUUCUUUUAGUAUGACCAAGCAUUAGAAACUUUAUUGAGAAAUACGAUUAAUUGAUUCGGUUUUUCACCUUUGUGAAUGACACGCUUCAUUAAUAGAUACAAAGUUUUUUUUUUAAAUGCAACAAGAAGAGAAUUCAUUCUCUCAUUUGUAUUAAAAGUCAUUUUUUUAAGCAUCGCCUAGAGCAAAAACUAUUCUCCACUCCACUUGUCUUUCUUCUUUUUUUUUUUUCAAGUUCUUUCCACAUUCAUAAAUGUUUGUGCAGCAACGAAAAUACAUACUUAUAAUUAAGAAGAACAAAGUAAUUAUCCAGAACUAACGGAUUAUAAGCCUUGAUAAUAGAUCUGAAAUUUCUACCAUUCAAAAGCUCGGGUUGCUAUUAUAUUCAGAAACGAGAAUAUAUUUGCCAUCCAUUACUUACAUACAUAGGCUGUACACAACGAGUGAAUCUGAUCUUAAUUAGUUCGAAUGUAACUAGCAACCUCAACUUGCAAUUACUAGCUAAUUCAUCCCUCGAGAUUUUGUAGCUCCAAAAAUUCCCAGCAGAAGUAAACCAAAUAAAUGUUUUGUGCAACCAUUCAUGUAGAAUUAUGAGUUUAAAUGGAGUUCAGUGAGUGAUAUAUAAAUAAAAAGAAAUCUAAAUACUAACCUGGAAAUGACUAUAAGGAGGAUCGAAGCGAUGUAACUGAGGGGAAUGAAGCCUGGUCCGACGUCAUCAACCACUUAACUGAUCGUUCAUAUACUAUAUUUAUAUAACCGAUCGUAGAUCUGAGUUAAGGGCCUCGUGCCAGACAACAAUCCCCUCAAAAGAAAAAGCUUCAUAGAUGAACAUGGAGUCCAUAAGAAGAACCCUAGCUACCUUUUACAAGUGAGAUGAUCAGCUUAUAAUUUACAAAGAAUCGUAAAAGUGAAAGAGAAGGAGACAAGAACGCAAUGAUGAAAGGAAGAGGCAGAUAUAUAUUAUUAGGAAAAGAUAUUGUGGAAAUGUAGGUGGUAAAAAUAAUGAAAAGGCAAGAGGAAAAAGAUAGAAAAGAACAAACAUAUUAAAGUCAUAUCUCACCAAUUUGACGACCUUUUUCGUUUUGUUUAAUACAUUAUAUAUAUAGUUACACAUUUUAGGCUUAUAAUGCUUUCACAUGUAUAUGGUACUGGAUAUUAAAAAAAGUCAAAUAUUGGAUUGGUGGAUGAUCAAGAUACUAUCUCUUGGUUGAAUGUAUCUCGGAUCAAAUUAAGUUAAAUAUUGGAUUUUCUUCAGUUUCUGUGACUUAGCAUAAUUUACUAACAAAAACGUUACACUGAAAUGUAUGUUCUAUGUAACACGGAAGGCUAAUAUCAUUUUCAGCAUUAGGACGAUGAUGCUACAAGUCAAAACAGAAAUUGAGAAAGUCAAAAGAUUAGUUGAGAAGUAACUAAUGUAAAAUGAAAAUUAAUAGGAAAAAAACAAAGAAAGAAGAUCGAUAGGUUAAUUAUUAGGACAUGAUUAUGUUGGAUUAGAUGAAGAUGAGAUUACAGAGGAAAAUGUCUUCAUAAUUCUCAUGUACUCCAUGUGACAUUCACACACCUACCUCUCUUUUCCCUUUCUCCCCAACCCACGCAUGCAUUCAUUUUUAUAUGUUUUCAAUAAGAAAAGUCUUGUGACUGCCAUAUGCACAAAAAUUUAAUUGUUACAGGAGAAUAAGUGGUAUGGAAUGGAUGAACUACAAAAAACCCAAAAAAUUCAGUGAAACAAAUACUCCAUUUACAAAGGAAAAGAAGCAGACUUAAAAUGUACUCCCUGUCCCUCCUAGCCCCCUCAAUAAAAGAUAAAAGUUUUUGUGUGUUUAAACAAUAAUAAAUAUAUCAUUUUAUGAUUAGCUAGUUUCAAUAAUUUUAAAUCAGUAGCAAUUCAAUAAAUAUUAUUAAGUUUAUAAAAGAAUUCACUAAUACCAUCCAUUAUCAGCUCUUAAAAAUGUACAAAAUAUAUCAGGACAAGUAAUUUAUGUGAAAAUACAAAAUAGUUGUACACGAAUAGAAAGCUUUCUUUUAAACAAAGACAAUUGACAUUGCAAUCAACUCCAAUGCAAAGCAAGAUCACUUCUUCAUUUGACCAAAAAAAAAAGAAGCAAGAUCACUUCUUCUAUCGGCAAGGAUAAUCUUUUGGGAUGCUGAUUUACGCAGAGUCAAGAUUAGUCAUCUUAGUAAAAUGGGUCUUUUUAUAUCUCUAAUAAGAAGCAUCCACACAAUAGUUAGGCACAAACCAAACCCAUGGAUAGCAGCAGGCUAGCAGCCCCAAGAGGUUAGCCCAUUUGGUAACCUGUGUAACUCAAUCUUUAAUACUAGACUCAUGAGAGCAUAUACCCAGUCCAUCUAGAGAACUCAGAGGGCUAUGCAGAGAUUCUCUUAGCCUAAGCUAAAGGAACAAAAAGGUAUAAUAGAAAUUGGGCUUUUUGUUCGUGGACAAUCUAGUUAUUAGAAAAGGACAAAAGAGAGAGAGAGAGAGAGCAGUGGUUACGUUGUUCACAUAACAGUAGUUUGAUGAUAGCAAAGUGAAUGCUUGCGAAAAAGAUACAAAAGUCUUUUUGUGAAAUCAGAAAAGUGAUCAAAUCCAAAACGACAAUCUUGUCUUGUCUCUGAAAAAUCCUGUCAUUACUCUCUCAAACCCUUUCGCCUUUCGAAUCUCCCUUUUUCUUCUUCUUCUUCAUCUCUCUUCAAUGAUUCCACUCUCUGAAUUUCACUCAACUCGUUCCCAUGGCUGCAAAACGUGUCCACGGAGACUACCCUUCGUCCACCGAUCUCUCCACUGUUAAACGCCACAAGGACCUCGACUUCCCCGAAGACACCACCACCGCACUCGAGGACGACGGCGCCGCCGCGAUCAACCUCCUCAGCCUACUCCUACAAUGCGCCGAAUACGUCGCCACGGACCACCUCCGCGAAGCUUCCAUCCUCUUGUCGGAAAUCUCCGAGACAUGCUCCCCGUUCGGUUCCUCCCCGGAGCGAGUCGUCGCCUACUUCGCGCAGGCGCUUCAGGCGCGCGUCAUCAGCACCUACCUCUCCGGCGCGUGCUCGUGCUCUCAACUCUCGGAGAGUCCAAUCCCGUCGCAGAAGAUCUUCGCCGCCUUACAGACGUUCAACUCCCUGAGCCCUCUCAUCAAAUUCUCACACUUCACUGCCAAUCAAGCGAUCUUCCAGGC
rnacentral:lncRNA from 1 species